rnacentral:lncRNA from 1 species
GCCGCCACAUCCCAUCGGUCACCAUCGACAUCUUUUUCUCCAUCGACUUCUUCCCUGCUCUCAUCGUUGCCACCUCCUGCCGGUCUCCGCUGCCACUUUCCUCCCGAUCCUCACCGGCAUCGGGUCCCCCCUAAAUCUCUCACAGGUGCUUUCCUUCCCCUAGAUCUCCAUUUCUUUUCUUUCUUUUUUUUAUUUUGCUUCGAACCCUUACAGAGGCUUUUGGAAAAUGGAAGUGAUGAGGGGAGUUGG